UACGUAGGCAGCGAGCGUUGUUCGGAGUUACUGGGCGUAAAGAGUGCGUAGGCGGUGCUCUAAGUUUGGUGUGAAAUCUCCCGGCUCAACUGGGAGGGUGCGCCGAAAACUGGAGUGCUCGAGUAUGGGAGAGGUAAGCGGAAUUCCUGGUGUAGCGGUGAAAUGCGUAGAUAUCAGGAGGAACACCGGCGGCGAAGGCGGGUCUCUGGGCAGUAACUGACGCUGAGGAGCGAAAGCGUGGGGAGCGAACAGG
rnacentral:rRNA from 1 species